GGCGCAGUAGUGUAGUGGUUAUCAAUCUUGACUGCCGUCCAGGAGGUCAGGGUUCGAUUCUCGCUCGGUGCUG
rnacentral:tRNA from 1 species